rnacentral:rRNA from 1 species
ACACAUGCAAGUCGAGCGAUUCUCUUCGGAGAAGAGCGGCGGACGGGUGAGUAACGCGUGGGUAACCUGCCCUGUACACACGGAUAACAUACCGAAAGGUAUGCUAAUACGAGAUAAUAUGCUUUUAUCGCAUGGUAGAAGUAUCAAAGCUUUUGCGGUACAGGAUGGACCCGCGUCUGAUUAGCUAGUUGGUAAGGUAACGGCUUACCAAGGCGACGAUCAGUAGCCGACCUGAGAGGGUGAUCGGCCACAUUGGAACUGAGACACGGUCCAAACUCCUACGGGAGGCAGCAGUGGGGAAUAUUGCACAAUGGGCGAAAGCCUGAUGCAGCAACGCCGCGUGAGCGAUGAAGGCCUUCGGGUCGUAAAGCUCUGUCCUCAAGGAAGAUAAUGACGGUACUUGAGGAGGAAGCCCCGGCUAACUACGUGCCAGCAGCCGCGGUAAUACGUAGGGGGCUAGCGUUAUCCGGAAUUACUGGGCGUAAAGGGUGCGUAGGUGGUUUCUUAAGUCAGAGGUGAAAGGCUACGGCUCAACCGUAGUAAGCCUUUGAAACUGGGAAACUUGAGUGCAGGAGAGGAGAGUGGAAUUCCUAGUGUAGCGGUGAAAUGCGUAGAUAUUAGGAGGAACACCAGUUGCGAAGGCGGCUCUCUGGACUGUAACUGACACUGAGGCACGAAAGCGUGGGGAGCAAACAGGAUUAGAUACCCUGGUAGUCCACGCCGUAAACGAUGAGUACUAGCUGUCGGAGGUUACCCCCUUCGGUGGCGCAGCUAACGCAUUAAGUACUCCGCCUGGGAAGUACGCUCGCAAGAGUGAAACUAAAGGAAUUGACGGGGACCCGCACAAGUAGCGGAGCAUGUGGUUUAAUUCGAAGCAACGCGAAGAACCUUACCUAAGCUUGACAUCCUUUUGACCGAUGCCUAAUCGCAUUUUUCCCUUCGGGGACAGAAGUGACAGGUGGUGCAUGGUUGUCGUCAGCUCGUGUCGUGAGAUGUUGGGUUAAGUCCCGCAACGAGCGCAACCCUUGCCUUUAGUUGCCAGCAUUAAGUUGGGCACUCUAGAGGGACUGCCAGGGAUAACCUGGAGGAAGGUGGGGAUGACGUCAAAUCAUCAUGCCCCUUAUGCUUAGGGCUACACACGUGCUACAAUGGGUGGUACAGAGGGCAGCCAAGUCGUGAGGCGGAGCUAAUCCCUUAAAGCCAUUCUCAGUUCGGAUUGUAGGCUGAAACUCGCCUACAUGAAGCUGGAGUUACUAGUAAUCGCAGAUCAGAAUGCUGCGGUGAAUGCGUUCCCGGGUCUUGUACACACCGCCCGUCACACCACGGGAGUUGGGGGCGCCCGAAGCCGGAUUGCUAACCUUUUGGAAGCGUCCGUCGAAGGUGAAAUCAAUAAC